rnacentral:rRNA from 1 species
AGACAGCAGUAGCCGCGGGAAUACGGAGGGGGCUAGCGUUGUUCGGAAUUACUGGGCGUAAAGCGCACGUAGGCGGCUUUGUAAGUCAGAGGUGAAAGCCCGGGGCUCAACCCCGGAAUUGCCUUUGAGACUGCAUCGCUUGAAUCCAGGAGAGGUGAGUGGAAUUCCGAGUGUAGAGGUGAAAUUCGUAGAUAUUCGGAAGAACACCAGUGGCGAAGGCGGCUCACUGGACUGGUAUUGACGCUGAGGUGCGAAAGCGUGGGGAGCAAACAGGAUUAGAUACCCCUGUAGUCCCUGUCUCUUAUAC